rnacentral:rRNA from 1 species
AUUGAACGCUGGCGGCAGGCCUAACACAUGCAAGUCGAGCGAGCGGCGGACGGGUGAGUAAUGUCUGGGAAACUGCCUGAUGGAGGGGGAUAACUACUGGAAACGGUAGCUAAUACCGCAUACCAUCAGAUGUGCCCAUAUGGGAUUAGCUAGUAGGUGGGGUAACGGCUCACCUAGGCGACGAUCCCUAGCUGGUCUGAGAGGAUGACCAGCCAUAAUGGAACUGAGACACGUUCCAGACUCCUCCGGGAGGCAGCAGUGGGGAGUAUGGCACAUUUGGCGGAAGCAGAGUGCAGCCAUGCCGCGUGUGUGAGGAAGGCAUUCGGGUUGUAGAGCAAUUGCAGCGGUGAGGCGUUCACCGCAGCAGAAACACCGGCUAGCUCCGUGCCAUCAGCCGCGGUAAUUC